AGGGAGUAUGGGGUAAAGCAAUCGGGGAAAGGGGCAAAUUAUAACAACUAAAAUGACAUACACAUAUGAAAAUACUAUAAUGAAACCCAUUACUUCGUAUAAUACUUAAUAUUAAUAAUAAUGAACUAACUUUUAAACCAGGUAUAUUGGUACAUGUAUGUAAUCCUGGAACAGCACACAGGAAGCUGAGGCAGGAAGAUUACAAAUUCCAGAUGGAGCCUGGUGGUGGUGGCACAUGCCUUUAGUCCCAGCACUCAGGAGGCAGAGGCAGGUGGAUCUCUGUGAGUUCGAGACCAUCCUGGUCUACAAGAGCUAGUUCCAGGACAGCCUCCAAAGCCACAGAGAAACCCUGUCUAAGAAAAAAAGGAAGAAUUUCAGAUAGGCUAUAGAGUGAGAACCUGUUCACAAAACAAAAAAUAGCAAACAGAAAAAAUGAACAGUUUUAAAACUGUUUUAAAACUUCCUUUUAUGAAGGAAGGAAGGGAAGAAGGAAGGAGUGAAGGAAACAAGAAAGGAAGAGAAAGGGAAGCCAGGAGAAGAGCUAUAAGAAGAUCAAGCUUUGGCAUUUCAAAAAGAACCUCAAAAGCACAAGCGACGGCCUCAACUCUCCUGGGAACUCAGCAAAGACUUCACAUGGUUUACCUGAUGGCUCCUCAAAUUCACAGCCUGUCUGUAGACGUCAAGGAAGAGGCUCCCACGGCUGUCCCCAGGACAGGGGGUAAAAACUGGCUGAUGUUUGGGGAAUUGCCAAAGAGCUCAGGACUUAACAGAAUUGCUCCUCCCACACCCACCGGAGACAGGCACUCCUCUCACUAUGGUCCUUCGGAUCUUACAGAACAGGAAGCUGGCGCAUGCUGAGGUUCAGUCACUUGUUGGAGGGCAGCAUCCCAGGUCCUUCAUGCUUUUCCCCAGUGAGAGAACAAACAUCCUGUAUCUGAGUCAUAGGAAGGGCAAGAAACCUGACCGCACAUAGGACCUGCCUCAGCAGCCAUGUGGAGCUGCAAUGUUUCUGCUUGAUUUUCCCAUCUAAGGCUUGUUCUCCAGAAGGCUUUUGACAACAUACAAAGAAAGUACAAAGUAUGUGGAAUGACAAAGGGCCUUGGGUUCUGUUCAGCUUGCUGACUGUGGGACAUCUACUAUAUCCCUUCAUUUUAACCAAGUCUUGGUUCCUUCCCUGCCUCCCUUCUGUGGAACUCACACCUGCCAGGUGGGUAUUCUGCCACUACGUUACACCUACAGCCGUGAGCUUGUCUUCUUUUCAGAAACGGUA
rnacentral:lncRNA from 1 species